rnacentral:rRNA from 1 species
UACGGGGGGGGCAAGCGUUGUUCGGAAUUACUGGGCGUAAAGGGCUCGUAGGUGGCCAACUAAGUCAGACGUGAAAUCCCUCAGCUUAACUGGGGAACUGCGUCUGAUACUGGAUGGCUUGAGAUUGGGAGAGGGAUGCGGAAUUCCAGGUGUAGCGGUGAAAUUCGUAGAUAUCGGGAGGAACACCUGUGGCGAAAGCGGCUCUCUGGACCACAACUGACGCUGAGGCGCGAAGGCUAGGGGAGCAAACAGG